rnacentral:rRNA from 1 species
GCAGAGAUGCCCUGGUGCCUUCGGGAACUCUGAGACAGGUGCUGCAUGGCUGUCGUCAGCUCGUGUUGUGAAAUGUUGGGUUAAGUCCCGCAACGAGCGCAACCCUUAUCCUUUGUUGCCAGCGCGUAAUGGCGGGAACUCAAAGGAGACUGCCGGUGAUAAACCGGAGGAAGGUGGGGAUGACGUCAAGUCAUCAUGGCCCUUACGAGUAGGGCUACACACGUGCUACAAUGGCGUAUACAAAGGGAAGCGACCCCGCGAGGGCAAGCGGAACUCAUAAAGUACGUCGUAGUCCGGAUUGGAGUCUGCAACUCGACUCCAUGAAGUCGGAAUCGCUAGUAAUCGUAGAUCAGAAUGCUACGGUGAAUACGUUCCCGGGCCUUGUACACACCGCCCGUCACACCAUGGGAGUGGGUUGCAAAAGAAGUAGGUAGCUUAACCUUCGGGAGGGCGCUUACCACUUUGUGAUUCAUGACUGGGGUGAAGUCGUAACAAGGUAACCGUAGGGGAACCUGCGGUUGGAUCACCUCCUUA